rnacentral:ncRNA from 2 species
UAAUUCGACAACUACAUAGGAAACAGGACAGGGGAAGCUGGUGAGAAUCCAGCACUGUUCCGCAACUGUAUGGGGAGCUCUCUCAUGGCAAGUCCGUCACGAGGACAUGAGAAGCGAGGAACUCAGUCAGAGUGCCUGCCUGUUUCUACUGCAGGAA